rnacentral:rRNA from 1 species
GUCUACAGCCAUGCCGCCCUGAACACACCCGAUCCUGUUUGAUCUUGGAAGCUAAGCAGAGUUGGGCCUAGUUUGGAGACCACCUAGGAAUACCAGGCUCUGUAGGCA